rnacentral:rRNA from 1 species
AGCGAACGCUGGCGGCAGGCCUAACACAUGCAAGUCGAACGCACCUUCGGGUGAGUGGCGGACGGGUGAGUAAUACGUGGGAACGUACCUUUUGGUUCGGAAUAACGCAGGGAAACUUGUGCUAAUACCGAAUGUGCCCUUCGGGGAAAGAUUUAUCGCCAUUAGAGCGGCCCGCGUUAGAUUAGCUAGUUGGUGAGGUA